CUGGUGCGGUUUCCCGACAGUAAUGACCCCAUUCCAGGUAUUUUCCGACAAAACGAGUUGGAUAAAACGAGAGGAUCUUUUGUGUGAGCUUUUUAUGUAGUGAAAGGCUCGGAAGUAGACGCAAUCCGGCUUCGUGGCUGCAUCCAGCGGCCAUUGUGUGAAUUUAUUGCUGUAAUGGUUGAUUAUGUUAUUUAUUACUAAUCAAGAAACUCUUAUUAAGUUUUUAAAAUAAAUAUUUAAAAGACAACAGUUCCUUUCUUUCACCUAACCCGGGUGUUCAGACGUUACAGCUUUAUAAAAAUGGUGGCAGCGGUACAGAUGAGAACCAUGCAGAGAUUACAGACCAUCAGAUUCUGAAUUUCCACGAAAAAUUACGAACAUCAUUUCGAAAACGUGAACACGUCAUUCAUUAAGCAAGUGUGAUUAGGAAAUCCACGAAAAGGUUACGGACGACAGUCCGGUUAAAGUGAUUACAGCUCUUCGAAGCAGGUGAAUUAGCAAAUCCACAGGAAAAUCCACAGAUUUUCGAUCUACUGAAUUUAGGCUGUCAAGAUAACGUCAGCAAUUUUUAUAAUUUCUUCAAUCAUCUUUGUGCCCGAGAAAAUUUAGUUCAGUGAAGUGUGUGGGACAGUCAUUGUCCGAAGAUCAUCAGAUUAUUGUGAAUUUGUAGUGUAGUGAUAAAAAUGAUAUAGCUGUCUGAAUCAUCAUGGCAAAUUGUGUGAUUUGUGUGAUAAGUGAUAAAAGAGUCAAAUAUCAUUAGUAUUUAUCAUCAGUAGUGCAGUUCCAGUGCACCAAGAGUCUACAAAUCCAGGCGGAGAUAGUUUGAAUUCAUUUCCCUGUAAUAACUGAUGAGAAAGUUGCUAUUACAGCAGCUAACUGUUUGAAGUAUACAAAGCAACGUAAAGAAAGAAAUGAAAGGAGGCUGAUGAAGACAUUAUAAGCUUAUAUUAUGAAUAUAUGAGUCAUGUUAUAAAAUUCAAUGAAGGCCAAUUGAAAAACAUAUUGUAUAUAUUUACAUAAUUGUUGAUAAAAAAUAAAAUGUGUUAUAAAGAG